UAACUUCUUGUACAGAGCUUCGUUUGGGGUCCAUAAUAUAUAGUCGGAAAGGUAUUUCAAAUAUUUACAACUUUCAUGUUUUAAGUUUUCUCAAAUUCUCAACAUAUUUUCAUGAAACUGGCUGGAAGGCCGACCUGCCGUAAACUUAGCCGAUUCUAUCGAAUCUUAAGCACCUCACUAUUCGUCUUGAUUCCAACCCAACUAUUUCAACCCAAACUCAUACCGAUGGGACUUCACAUGUCUAAAAUGACAUAUUAAUACUCAUUUAACAUAUCCACACCUAUUCUGAAUUUACGGGGUGUUACAUUGACGCGUGACUAACGCGCAUGGCCUGUUGCUCUGAGCGUUUUUGUGAUGUUCAUAACUUCUUGCUCUGAUCUACGUUUUCGAUCUUUAUAUGGAUGGCGAGGUAUUUCCAUGUAAUACAAAUUUCAUUAAGGGCUCCUUUCCAAAUUGCCAACUAAUUAAAGGGUUAUGGUUGCCCGAAGUAGCCCCCUCGGCCACUUUCGCAAAAAUGUGAAACCUUCUAAAUUUCAUUUUACUUUCUUAAUACGAGUCGUACCUUAGUAUGAGGACCCGAGGUGUCACAAUCCAUACCAAACUAGUGGAUUUAUCACCACAACCAUGCCCUAAGGCCUAACAUGCUUUCCCUGUGACCAUCUACCACUACAUACGAUUCCCUAAUGGGAGUCUAACAAAGGUAAGCCAUAACCUACCUCAAAGCCAAGCAGGAGCCACUAACCCGAAGCUGAGGCUUCCCCUUCCGAAAUGUCUCUGAAUGGUCAAAAUCCUGAUCCGAACGAAGAUUGAGUCUUCCGAAAGCUCUACCGCGUCCAAAUUCACCAAACGAGUUCAAUAUAGUCAAAAUAGUAUUCUACAAGGUCAAACGAGUCUAACAAUACCCAUAUUGUUAUACUUCUAUUCGGAACCCCAAAAUGAAGCCAAAAUAGUCAAACCCGACCCCUAAGGGCAAAACUGGAAUUUUGUUGUCAAAAUUAGGUCCAAUAUAGUCAAAACAGUAGUCUACGAGUUUAAAUGAGUCCAAUGAGUCCCAUAUUACCAUGCUUUGAUUAGGAACCCGAAAAUGAACCCAAAAAGGUAACCCCGAGGCCGCAAGGGCAAAAUUGGAAAUUUAUUUCAUAUAUAGUUUACCCAUAGCUUAAUUAGUCUAGAUCCGUAAAAACCCAUUAAAAAGUCAUCAUCUUGAUCCUCAAAUCCAUGAUUUACAAUUUAUCAACUUUUGAGUUCAAAAUCCCAAUUUUCCCCAACCAAACACGGAUAAAAUCGAUAAUCAACGAAAAUUGAGGAAACAUCAAAUUAUAGGUUAGAUACUUAACCCUUUGUUGAGACGAGAAUAACGCCGCAAAAAUCAACUCAAAUGGAGCUUUAUAACUCAAGAUAUGCUCAAAAUACUAAAUGGACGAAGUCUGAUUUUUAAAUACUCAGUGAUUUCAGUAUCCGCGGCCAAAACUCUGCACCUGUGGGCCUGCCACAUGGAAUUUCCACACCUGUGGGAUCGUAGGUGGGACGCACCAACACCAGCAACUUGGUCCAACACUAAAAUGGGCAUAACUCCCUCAUACGAUGUCUGAAUUCGACGAUUCUUUUUUGCUAUGGCUUUGUAAUUACGAUACGGAUCUAAUGGUUCAAUCGAAACACAAAACUAAGGUUGUUUUAUCAAUAUGGUACCCUUUAUGGCCGAAGAGAUGACACCAAAACUUCAAACACGAGCGCGACACAAGCCAAAUGCAUCCGAAACUCAUCGGAAUCUCACCAAAACUUGCGGACAAGUCCAAAAUCAUCAUAUGAUCUUGUUGGAACUUUCAAAACAUCGACACCCAAACCCUUUAGAAUCGAACCAAUGACUCCACUAAGUCAUAAAUCUCAUUCCGAACCUAAUGGAAUCGACGAAACUUCAAAUUAGACUCAUUUACCCCUGAUGUUGACUUUGGUCAAAUUUCUUCAUUAAUUAACUUAAGGAUUUCCAAAAUAUCCGUUUCCUUAUCCAAAACUCAUCCAAAAGCCUCGGGGAUUGUUCCACCAUUCCCCGCAAGUCAUAAACAAUGAAAUAAAACUACGGGGAGGGUAUUUUGGGGAAAAGAGGUCAAAAAGCUCAAAAUGACCAAAUGGGUUGUUACACUCAAUGGUUGACAACAACUUCACAAAAUCCUUUAAUUCUUGGAUUCUACAAGCAAGGGGCAUGCCAAUUAUCAAAAUGUUGGAGGAAAUAAGGGUCAAGGUAAUGGUCUUGCUAGAAGAUAAUAAAGACAAAGCUAGAAGUUAGAGAACUAAUUACAGUCCACAAUGCAUGAAGUUGUACAAUGAUUAUAGGGAAAUAGCACAUGGCUGCGUUGUUAACUUUAAUGGUGAUUAUGGCUAUGAGGUAUCAUAGGGUGAUCAUAGAUAGACUGUGAACCUGGAGCAAAAUAGAUGCACCUGUAGGAUGUGGGACUUGUCUGGGAUACCUUGCCCUCAUGCCAUUAAGGCAUUUUUGCAUAAGAAUGUUGAUACAGUGACACAAAUUCACUGAUUUUACAGUAAAGAAGUCUAUCUGCUAACAUAUAAGCAUAAAUGCAGCUUGUUAGAGGAGUACAAUUCUGGAGAGUUGAACCUGCGCAUGCAAUGGAGUCACCUGAAAUGAUCAAAGCAGUUGGAAGACCCAAAAUAAAGAGAAAUAGAACAGCAGAUGAAGCAAAAAAGAGGAAGCAUGAAUGGAGUGCAUUAAGGAAGGGAUCUAUUAUGACAUGAAGUAAAUGUGGAGAAAAAAAUCACAAUACAAGAGGUUGUCACAAGAGAGAAAAGGUUGGACAAAUUCCAAAGAAGGGGAAGGGCAAGGAAAAAGUUAGCCAGACCUUAAAUGGACCUCAACAGUCUGGCAACACCUCAAGAAGCAGCUGUUAUGAACCUGAAUUUUGUACAAACAAAUCUCAACAGUCAGGCUUUGAAACUCAAAUUGGUACUCAACAAUCAAUAGCUUAUGGACCAGAUAUUGGUGAUGACGAAGACCUAACAUUGAGGCCAAAAGUCAUAUCUAAAGCUGAUACAUUGUUGUCCAUGAGAAAGACAAGAAUGAGGCCACCAACUAGUGGUGGAAGAAUUCAAUUCAUUGGAGAUGCAAGUGGAGUGUCAGCUCCAACGAACUUGCCUUCUUCACCAACAAAGAUGACUUGGAGGGAAAAUGAAACUGUUACAUCCAUCCAGUUACAAGAUGAAGUAAAAAAAAAAUGUAUCAAGAUGAAGGCAAGAAAGAGGCAAGGAGAAUCAGCCCCUGAUGAUUGUGACAUUUGAAUAUUGUUUAUUUUGUGAUGCCUAGACAUUUCAAACAUCCUACAAUUUAGAGGUUAAAGUGGUUAACAGUUGAUUUAUGUUAUUAAAAUUAGUUCAACCUUUAAAGUUAGCAUUCAUAUGUUAAGUAUGUUCUUAGUAAAGUUAAGUAUUUUGUGAAUGAUAGCGAAUUAUGUUAAGUAUGUUGUUAAUGAAGCCUUCUGUUAUGGAA